rnacentral:rRNA from 1 species
AACGAACGCUGGCGGCGUGCUUAACACAUGCAAGUCGAACGCGAAAGGGACUUCGGUCCCGAGUAGAGUGGCGCACGGGUGAGUAACGCGUAAGUAAUCUACCCCUGUAUUCGGAAUACCCCACCGAAAGGUGAGCUAAUACCGGAUACGUUUAUCUUGAUGCGAAUGAUGAUAAAGAAAGGUGGCCUCUUCUUGAAAGCUACUGUACAGGGACGAGCUUGCGUACCAUUAGCUAGUUGGUAGGGUAAUGGCCUACCAAGGCGACGAUGGUUAGCGGGUCUGAGAGGAUGAUCCGCCACACUGGAACUGGAACACGGACCAGACUCCUACGGGAGGCAGCAGUGAGGAAUAUUGCGCAAUGGGGGAAACCCUGACGCAGCGACGCCGCGUGGAUGAUGAAGGCCCUUGGGUCGUAAAAUCCUGUCAGAUGGAAAGAAAUGCCACAGGGCUAAUAUCUUUGUGGUUUGACGGUACCAUCAAAGGAAGCACCGGCUAACUCCGUGCCAGCAGCCGCA